rnacentral:rRNA from 1 species
UACAGAGGGUGCGAGCGUUAAUCGGAAUUACUGGGCGUAAAGGGCGCGUAGGCGGCCGAUCAAGUUAGAUGUGAAAGUCCUGGGCUUAACCUGGGGACUGCAUUUGAUACUGAUUGGCUUGAAUUCGGGAGAGGAUAGCGGAAUUCCCAGUGUAGAGGUGAAAUUCGUAGAUAUUGGGAAGAACACCGGUGGCGAAGGCGGCUAUCUGGACCGACAUUGACGCUGAGGCGCGAAAGCGUGGGGAGCAAACAGG